rnacentral:rRNA from 1 species
UACGAAGGGGGCGAGCGUUGUUCGGAUUUACUGGGCGUAAAGGGCGCGCAGGCGGUCUUGAAAGUCAGGCGUGAAAGCCCCGGGCUUAACCUGGGAAUUGCGCUUGAUACUCUGAGACUGGAGUACGGGAGAGGAGAGUGGAAUUCCCAGUGUAGAGGUGAAAUUCGUAGAUAUUGGGAAGAACACCGGUGGCGAAGGCGGCGACCUGGUCCUUGACUGACGCUGAGGCGCGAAAGCGUGGGGAGCAAACAGG